AUGCCUGGAGUGGAUAAUGAAGAGGUGGAAGAAACUGAAACUGAGGAAGAUAUACAUGAGUUGUAUGAAGAAGAGAAUGAGACUCAAGUUCCCAGCCCUGUUCAACCAAGCCCAGCACAACCAAAGCGCAAGCGUCCAAAAAGUGCAAUUCCUUGUAGUCCAUCCAAGUUCCAGAAAAAUAAUGUGCCAAAGGACUUCAAGAGGUUUGUUGAUCAUGUCAUACAGGAAGAUUGUGCGGGCCAAACUAGUAAGACCGCUGACAAUGAUGAUAUUCUUGCUAUUAUGGAAGAGGUUGCCAAGUGUGGAGCCUCCGAGACUAGUGAUGAGUACUACAUGGUUACAAAGUUGUUUGCCAAACCAUCAAACUGCAGCUUCUUUUAUGCAAUGAAGACAAAUGAAGGGAGACUCAAUUGGCUCAAGAGAUAG
rnacentral:rRNA from 1 species